rnacentral:lncRNA from 1 species
GUUUCUAUCUCACAUUGGACAUAAGUAGAUUGCAAGAUUAAUGGAAAGUAGAAUAGUUAACUGACUUGCCUGAACAUAAAAGAGACAUUGAUUUGAAAACAAAACAUUUAUUCAUUUACUUUCGCUGCAGUUUUCUUGACUGCUGAAUUUCACGAGAAGGGAUUGUUCAGGGAGUGUCGUGGGGCUGAAGACCUGGAGAGGAGCUGUUGCUACCGCUGUUCAAAUCCGAGGGUGGUGGAGAUGGAGCCUUGGGGAGGAGCGGGUGCUGCCUUUUAAGUCUAUGAGAGUUGUUGAGCUGGACGUCCAGGGAGGAGCCGGUGCUGCCACUGACGUCUUAGGUUGUGGAGCUGAAGACAAUGAAGGAGCCAGUGUGGCUGUUCUUCUGUGAGGGUCGUGGAGCUGGAGAUCCAGGUGGGACAUGUGUUCUAGCUCGGGGAGCAGCUGAUGUUCUACCUUCAGGGCCCUGCAGCUGCAGACCCGGAGAGGAGCUGAUGUUCUAGUUUGAGGGUCUUGCAGCUGCAGAUCCGGAGAGGAGCUGAUGUUCUAGAUUGAGGGUCAUGCAGCUGAAGACUCGGGGAGGAGCUGAUGUUGUAGUUUGAGGGUCGUGCAGUUCAGGACUCGGGGUGGAGCUGAUGUUGUUCGCGUUGAGGGUCUUUCAGCUGGAGACUCGGAGGAGCUGAUAAUCUUGAAUGAGGGUCAUGGAGCUGGAGACCCGGACAGGAGCUGAUGUUCUAGUUAGUGGAUCUUCCAGCUGCAGACCCAGGGAGGAGCUGAUGUUCUAGUUUUAGGUUCUUGCAGCUGCAGACCCGGAGAGGAGCUGAUGUUCUAGAUUGAGGGUCAUGUAGCUGAAGACUUGGCGAGGAGCUGAUGUUGUAGUUUUAGGGUCAUGCAGUGGAGGACUCGGGGAGGAGCUGAUGUUGUUCACAUUGAGGGUCUUUCAGGUGGAGACUCGGGGAGGAGCUGAUGUUCUACUGUUAGGUUCUUGCAGCUGCAGACGCGGAGAGGAGCUGAUGUUCUAGAUUGAGGGUCGUGCAGCUGAACUCGGGGAGGAGCUGAAGUUGUAGUUUGAGGGUCGCGCUGUUGAAGACUCGGGGAGGAGCUAAUGUUGUUUGCGUUGAGAGUCUUUCAGCUGGAGACUCAGGGAGGAGCUGAUAAUCUUGAUUGUGGGUCAUGGAGCUGGAGACCCGGACAGGAGCUAAUGUGCUAGUUAGUGGAUCUUCUAGCUGCAGACACGGAGAGGAGCUGAUGUUCUAGAUUGAGGGUCAUGCAGCUGAAGACUCGGCGAGGAGCUGAUGUUGUAGUUUGAGGGUCAUGCAGUUGAGGACUCGGGGAGGAGCUGAUGUUGUUCACGUUGAGGGUCUUUCAGCUGGAGACUCAGGGAAGAGCUGGUAAUCUUGAUCGAGGGUCAUGGAGCUGCAGACCCGGCAGGAGCUGAUGUUCUAGUUAGUGGAUCUUCCAGCUGCAGACCCAGGGAGGAGCUGAUGUUCUAGUUUGAGGGUCGUGCAGCUGGAGACCUGGAUAGGAGCUGAUGUUCUAGAUUGAGGGUCGUGCAGCUGAAGACUCGGGGAGGAGCUGAUGUUCUCGUUUGAGGGUCAUGCAGCUGAAGACUCGGGGAGGAGCUGAGGUUCUAAUUUGGGGGUCAUGCAGCUGAAGACCCGGGGAGGAGCUGAGGUUCUAGAUUGAGGGUCUUGCAGCUGCAGACCCGGGGUGGAGCUGAUAUUCUAGUUUGAGGGUCUUGCAGCUGCAGAUUUGGAGAGGAGCUGAUGUUUUUGUUUGAGGGUCUUUCAGUUGGAGACUCAGGGAGGAGCUGAUGUUCUAGAUUUAGAGUCACGGAACUGGAGACCUGGAGAGAAGAUGAUGUUCUAGAUUGAGGGUCAUGCAGCUGCAGACCUGGAGAGGAGCUGAUGUUCUAGUUUGAGGGUCUUGCAGCUGCAGACCUGGAGAGGAGCUGAUGUUCUAGUUUGAGGGUCUUGCAGCUGCACACCUGUAGAGGAGCUGAUGUUCUAGAUUGAGGGUCAUGCAGGUGAAGACUCAGGGAGAAGCUGAUGUUCUAGUUUGAGGGUCUUGGAUCUGCAAACCUGGAGAGGAGCUGAUGUUCUAGAUUGAGGGUCGUGCAGCUGAAGACUCAGGAGGAGCUGAGGUUCUAGAUUAAGGGUUGUGCAGCUGAAGACUCGGGGAGGAGCUGAGGUUCUAGUUUGAGAGUCAUGCAGCUGAAGACUCGGGAGGAGCUGAUGUUCUAGAUUGAGGGCCCUACAGCUGCAGACCCGGAGAGUAUCUGAUGUUCGAGAUUGAGGGUCGUGCAGCUGAAGACUCCGGGAGGAGCUGAGGUGGCAAUUUGAGGGUCUUGCAGCUGCUGACUCGGGGAGGAGCUGAUGUUCUAGUUUGAGGGUCGUG